rnacentral:rRNA from 1 species
UACGGAGGAUGCAAGCGUUAUCCGGAUUCAUUGGGUUUAAAGGGUACGUAGGUGGCCCAGUAAGUCAGUGGUGAAAUCCUGCCGCUUAACGGUAGAACUGCCAUUGAAACUGCUGGGCUUGAGUACAGUUGAGGUAGGCGGAAUGUGUAGUGUAGCGGUGAAAUGCUUAGAUAUUACACAGAACCCCGAUUGCGAAGGCAGCUUACUAAACUGUAACUGACACUGAGGUACGAAAGCGUGGGGAG